UACAGAGGUCCCGAGCGUUGUUCGGAUUCACUGGGCGUAAAGGGUGCGUAGGUGGUGAGGUAAGUCGGAUGUGAAAGCUCCAAGCUCAACUUGGAAAUGGCAUUGGAAACUACCUUGCUAGAGGGUUUGAGGGGGGACUGGAAUGCUUGGUGUAGCAGUGAAAUGCGUAGAUAUCAAGUGGAACACCAGUGGCGAAGGCGAGUCCCUGGAAAACUCCUGACACUGAGGCACGAAAGCUAGGGGAGCAAACAGG
rnacentral:rRNA from 1 species